GGUGAAGAACGUAGCGAAAUGCGAUAAGUAAUGUGAAUUGCAGAAUUCAGUGAAUCAUCGAAUCUUUGAACGCACAUUGCGCCCUCUGGUAUUCCGGGGGGCAUGCCUGUUCGAGCGUCAUUAUAACCACUCAAGCUCUCGCUUGGUAUUGGGGUUCGCGGUUUCGCGGCCCCUAAAAUCAGUGGCGGUGCCUGUCGGCUCUACGCGUAGUAAUACUUCUCGCGAUUGAGUCCGAUAGGUCUACUUGCCAGUAACCCCCAAUUUUUACAGGUUGACCUCGGAUCAGGUAGGGAUACCCGCUGAACUUAAGCAUAUCAAUAAGCGGAGGA
rnacentral:misc_RNA from 1 species